CCCCCCCCAUGUGGGAUGUGCAGCCAAUCAAGCCACCUGGAGGCUAUAAAGGUGACCUGCUGCCACACAGUCAGUCCUUUGUUCCUCAGUCUGGUGUGCGUACCUGCUCAGGAAACCUAAUGAACUGUUUCCAAAUCAUCGCACUCAAGCUUCAAUAAAAUAACUGAACAGAAUCUGAAAUCCUGAACUUUUGAUUCAAAUAUAUUUAUGGUGGUUAGUUUAUCUGCACAGGCAACAGUUUUUGAGGCAGCUGAUCCUGUUUUACAAGAUUUCUUAGAAAAGAAUCUUUCUUCCUGACCUUUUGACCUUACAUCAAAUAAAUUCCUUCAUAGAAGCUGAAGAUGAAGCGGUAGGCCUUGCCGAGCCGGUGGCGCAGAACAUCUCCACGGAGCUGUAGAUCAGCGGGGUGAUGCAGACGAGCCCUGAGAUGAUCGUGGAGAAAACCAGGUGUUCAGCAGAAACACAGCCCUGCACGAUGAGAAGAGGGGCGGACCCCGGGACCAGGAACUCUAAAACCAGCUGCCGUCCCAGCAGGACUGACGAGGCCUGAAGGACUCGCUGGUGAAAAGGUGGAGGGUGCGUCAGAUCCUGAAAGCGAAUUCACCGUUUUGUCUUACACCAAAUAACUUCCAUACCCAUUAAUAUUAACAUUUAAACAUGCUUGAAAAAUGUAGAGUGUCUAGAAGAUAACACAGCAGCCUUUUUACAAUAAAAUGUAGUUCAGCUGUUUGAA